AGUCGAGCGGACAGAUGGGAGCUUGCUCCCUGAUGUUAGCGGCGGACGGGUGAGUAACACGUGGGUAACCUGCCUGUAAGACUGGGAUAACUCCGGGAAACCGGGGCUAAUACCGGAUGGUUGUUUGAACCGCAUGGUUCAAACAUAAAAGGUGGCUUCGGCUACCACUUACAGAUGGACCCGCGGCGCAUUAGCUAGUUGGUGAGGUAACGGCUCACCAAGGCAACGAUGCGUAGCCGACCUGAGAGGGUGAUCGGCCACACUGGGACUGAGACACGGCCCAGACUCCUACGGGAGGCAGCAGUAGGGAAUCUUCCGCAAUGGACGAAAGUCUGACGGAGCAACGCCGCGUGAGUGAUGAAGGUUUUCGGAUCGUAAAGCUCUGUUGUUAGGGAAGAACAAGUACCGUUCGAAUAGGGCGGUACCUUGACGGUACCUAACCAGAAAGCCACGGCUAACUACGUGCCAGCAGCCGCGGUAAUACGUAGGUGGCAAGCGUUGUCCGGAAUUAUUGGGCGUAAAGGGCUCGCAGGCGGUUUCUUAAGUCUGAUGUGAAAGCCCCCGGCUCAACCGGGGAGGGUCAUUGGAAACUGGGGAACUUGAGUGCAGAAGAGGAAGAGGGGGAAUUUCCCCGUUUAGGCGGGGAAAUUGGGUAGAGAUGGGGAAGGACCCCCCAGUGGGGAAGGGGACCUUUCCUGGUCUGUAAACUGACGCUGAGAGAACGAAAAGCGGGGGGAGCGAACAGGGAUUAGAUCCCCCUGGUAGUCCCCCCCGUAAACGAUGAGUGGUAAGUGUAGGGGGGUCUCCGCCCCUUAGUGCUGCAGCUAACGCAUUAAGCACUCCGCCUGGGGAGUACGGUCGCAAGACUGAAACUCAAAGGAAUUGGCGGGGGCCCGCACAAGCGGGGGAGCAUGUGGUUUAAUUCGAAGCAACGCGAAGAACCUUACCAGGUCUUGACAUCCUCUGACAAUCCUAGAGAUAGGACGUCCCCUUCGGGGGCAGAGUGACAGGUGGUGCAUGGUUGUCGUCAGCUCGUGUCGUGAGAUGUUGGGUUAAGUCCCGCAACGAGCGCAACCCUUGAUCUUAGUUGCCAGCAUUCAGUUGGGCACUCUAAGGUGACUGCCGGUGACAAACCGGAGGAAGGUGGGGAUGACGUCAAAUCAUCAUGCCCCUUAUGACCUGGGCUACACACGUGCUACAAUGGACAGAACAAAGGGCAGCGAAACCGCGAGGUUAAGCCAAUCCCACAAAUCUGUUCUCAGUUCGGAUCGCAGUCUGCAACUCGACUGCGUGAAGCUGGAAUCGCUAGUAAUCGCGGAUCAGCAUGCCGCGGUGAAUACGUUCCCGGGCCUUGUACACACCGCCCGUCACACCACGAGAGUUUGUAACACCCGAAGUCGGUGAGGUAACCUUUUAGGAGCCAGCCGCCGAAG
rnacentral:rRNA from 1 species